rnacentral:tRNA from 1 species
ACCUUCGUGGUGUAGUGGUCAGCACGCUCGACGUGUAUUCGAGAGGUCCGUGGUUCGAGUCCCGGCGAAGGCA